rnacentral:lncRNA from 1 species
UUGCAUGCCAGAUUCUUUUAUAAUAAAUUUCUACUUUACACACUUCUUUCAUAUGCAAUUACAUGCUACUUUGGAAUCAUUCAUUUCCUCCAGGCUUCCUCCAUAGAGUUUGAUCAGUCUUGGGUGCAGCCUAUAAGGAAUAACAUAGGCUUGAUUAUUUCAUUUUUCUGCCACGCAAUGUUUUACACACCUUACAAGUGUGGUACAUAAGUCACACAUACAGACGGACAUACACUCCUAGCAGAGCUACAAGUCAUCAAGGUGAAGGACAUAAAACACCAACAUCUGUGACCAUUCCAGAGCAUUCUUAACCACCUUUCCUGCAAGGUUAAUACCUCUAGUGCCUCUAUGAAGAGACAGUCAUUUAAGAACACCCCAUAAAAUCGAUUCUGUGAAACAGGAAAAAACAGAGGCUCCUGCCCAUCUCCCAGCAUGCUUCAGUCUGCUAAGACAUUAAGCUUGCUAAGAUUGCGUAUAUAAGUUUCUACAAUCGAUCACUCUUGUUAACAUAUAUGUAUGGUGUGUUGAAUGCUUUGUAAAGAUUUGACAAGAGAUUCCAUUACUUUAUAUAUUAACUUGAAUAAAAAGAGAACUUGAAUAAAAAUAGGACUUGAUAAAAACAAA